rnacentral:tRNA from 1 species
GCCUUCGUGGUGUAGUGGUCUGCAUGCUCCACGCGUAACCAAGAGGUCCGUGGUUCGAUUCCCGGCGAAGGCG